rnacentral:rRNA from 1 species
UACGUAGGAUCCUAGCGUUGUCCGGAUUUACUGGGUGUAAAGGGUGCGCAGGCGGACUUAUAAGUCAGUGGUGAAAUCUCGGCGCUUAACGCCGAAACUGCCUUUGAUACUAUAAGUCUUGAGUUUGGUAGAGAUCCGUGGAAUUCCGAGUGUAGCAGUGAAAUGUGUAGAUAUUCGGAAGAACACCAGCGGCGAAGGCAGCGGAUUGGGCCAAUACUGACGCUCAGGCACGAAAGCAUGGGGAUCAAACAGG